CACGUAGGGGGCAAGCGUUGUCCGGAUUUAUUGGGCGUAAAGAGCUCGUAGGCUGUUCGAUAAGUCGGGUGUGAAACCUCCAGGCUCAACCUGGAGACGCCACCCGAUACUGUCAUGACUAGAGUCCGGUAGGGGAGCGUGGAAUUCCUGGUGUAGCGGUGAAAUGCGCAGAUAUCGGGAGGAACACCAGCGGCGAAGGCGGCGCUCUGGGCCGGUACUGACGCUGAGGAGCGAAAGCGUGGGUAGCAAACAGG
rnacentral:rRNA from 1 species